GACGAACGCUGGCGGCGUGCCUAAUACAUGCAAGUUGAGCGCUGAAGGUUGGUACUUGUACCAACUGGAUGAGCAGCGAACGGGUGAGUAACGCGUGGGGCAUCUGCCUUUGAGCGGGGGACAACAUUUGGAAACGAAUGCUAAUACCGCAUAAAAACUUUAAACACAAGUUUGAAGUUUGAAAGAUGCAAUUGCAUCACUCAAAGAUGAUCCCGCGUUGUAUUAGCUAGUUGGUGAGGUAAAGGCUCACCAAGGCGAUGAUACAUAGCCCACCUGAGAGGGUGAUCGGCCACAUGGGGACUGAGACACGGCCCAAACGCCUACGGGAGGCAGCAGUAGGGAAUCUGCGGCAAUGGACGAAAGUCUUACCGAGCAACGCCGCGGGAGUGAAGAAGGUGUUCGGAUCGUAAAACUCUGUUGGUAGAGAAGAACGUGGGUGAGAGUGGAAAGCUCAUCAAGUGACGGUAACUACCCAGAAAGGGACGGCUAACUACGUG
rnacentral:rRNA from 1 species